AGCGUACACGGUGGAUGCCCUGGCAGUCAGAGGCGAUGAAGGACGUGCUAAUCUGCGAUAAGCGUCGGUAAGGUGAUAUGAACCGUUAUAACCGGCGAUUUCCGAAUGGGGAAACCCAGUGUGAUUCGUCACACUAUCAUUAACUGAAUCCAUAGGUUAAUGAGGCGAACCGGGGGAACUGAAACAUCUAAGUACCCCGAGGAAAAGAAAUCAACCGAGAUUCCCCCAGUAGCGGCGAGCGAACGGGGAGCAGCCCAGAGCCUGAAUCAGUGUGUGUGUUAGUGGAAGCGUCUGGAAAGGCGCGCGAUACAGGGUGACAGCCCCGUACACAAAAAUGCACAUACUGUGAGCUCGAUGAGUAGGGCGGGACACGUGGUAUCCUGUCUGAAUAUGGGGGGACCAUCCUCCAAGGCUAAAUACUCCUGACUGACCGAUAGUGAACCAGUACCGUGAGGGAAAGGCGAAAAGAACCCCGGCGAGGGGAGUGAAAAAGAACCUGAAACCGUGUACGUACAAGCAGUGGGAGCACAGAGCAAUCUGUGUGACUGCGUACCUUUUGUAUAAUGGGUCAGCGACUUAUAUUCUGUAGCAAGGUUAACCGAAUAGGGGAGCCGAAGGGAAACCGAGUCUUAACUGGGCGUUAAGUUGCAGGGUAUAGACCCGAAACCCGGUGAUCUAGCCAUGGGCAGGUUGAAGGUUGGGUAACACUAACUGGAGGACCGAACCGACUAAUGUUGAAAAAUUAGCGGAUGACUUGUGGCUGGGGGUGAAAGGCCAAUCAAACCGGGAGAUAGCUGGUUCUCCCCGAAAGCUAUUUAGGUAGCGCCUCGUGAAUUCAUCUCCGGGGGUAGAGCACUGUUUCGGCAAGGGGGUCAUCCCGACUUACCAACCCGAUGCAAACUGCGAAUACCGGAGAAUGUUAUCACGGGAGACACACGGCGGGUGCUAACGUCCGUCGUGAAGAGGGAAACAACCCAGACCGCCAGCUAAGGUCCCAAAGUCAUGGUUAAGUGGGAAACGAUGUGGGAAGGCCCAGACAGCCAGGAUGUUGGCUUAGAAGCAGCCAUCAUUUAAAGAAAGCGUAAUAGCUCACUGGUCGAGUCGGCCUGCGCGGAAGAUGUAACGGGGCUAAACCAUGCACCGAAGCUGCGGCAGCGACGCUGAUGCGUUGUUGGGUAGGGGAGCGUUCUGUAAGCCUGUGAAGGUGUGCUGUGAGGCAUGCUGGAGGUAUCAGAAGUGCGAAUGCUGACAUAAGUAACGAUAAAGCGGGUGAAAAGCCCGCUCGCCGGAAGACCAAGGGUUCCUGUCCAACGUUAAUCGGGGCAGGGUGAGUCGACCCCUAAGGCGAGGCCGAAAGGCGUAGUCGAUGGGAAACAGGUUAAUAUUCCUGUACUUGGUGUUACUGCGAAGGGGGGACGGAGAAGGCUAUGUUGGCCGGGCGACGGUUGUCCCGGUUUAAGCGUGUAGGCUGGUUUUCCAGGCAAAUCCGGAAAAUCAAGGCUGAGGCGUGAUGACGAGGCACUACGGUGCUGAAGCAACAAAUGCCCUGCUUCCAGGAAAAGCCUCUAAGCAUCAGGUAACAUCAAAUCGUACCCCAAACCGACACAGGUGGUCAGGUAGAGAAUACCAAGGCGCUUGAGAGAACUCGGGUGAAGGAACUAGGCAAAAUGGUGCCGUAACUUCGGGAGAAGGCACGCUGAUAUGUAGGUGAAGUCCCUCGCGGAUGGAGCUGAAAUCAGUCGAAGAUACCAGCUGGCUGCAACUGUUUAUUAAAAACACAGCACUGUGCAAACACGAAAGUGGACGUAUACGGUGUGACGCCUGCCCGGUGCCGGAAGGUUAAUUGAUGGGGUCAGCGCAAGCGAAGCUCUUGAUCGAAGCCCCGGUAAACGGCGGCCGUAACUAUAACGGUCCUAAGGUAGCGAAAUUCCUUGUCGGGUAAGUUCCGACCUGCACGAAUGGCGUAAUGAUGGCCAGGCUGUCUCCACCCGAGACUCAGUGAAAUUGAACUCGCUGUGAAGAUGCAGUGUACCCGCGGCAAGACGGAAAGACCCCGUGAACCUUUACUAUAGCUUGACACUGAACAUUGAGCCUUGAUGUGUAGGAUAGGUGGGAGGCUUUGAAGUGUGGACGCCAGUCUGCAUGGAGCCGACCUUGAAAUACCACCCUUUAAUGUUUGAUGUUCUAACGUUGACCCGUAAUCCGGGUUGCGGACAGUGUCUGGUGGGUAGUUUGACUGGGGCGGUCUCCUCCUAAAGAGUAACGGAGGAGCACGAAGGUUGGCUAAUCCUGGUCGGACAUCAGGAGGUUAGUGCAAUGGCAUAAGCCAGCUUGACUGCGAGCGUGACGGCGCGAGCAGGUGCGAAAGCAGGUCAUAGUGAUCCGGUGGUUCUGAAUGGAAGGGCCAUCGCUCAACGGAUAAAAGGUACUCCGGGGAUAACAGGCUGAUACCGCCCAAGAGUUCAUAUCGACGGCGGUGUUUGGCACCUCGAUGUCGGCUCAUCACAUCCUGGGGCUGAAGUAGGUCCCAAGGGUAUGGCUGUUCGCCAUUUAAAGUGGUACGCGAGCUGGGUUUAGAACGUCGUGAGACAGUUCGGUCCCUAUCUGCCGUGGGCGCUGGAGAACUGAGGGGGGCUGCUCCUAGUACGAGAGGACCGGAGUGGACGCAUCACUGGUGUUCGGGUUGUCAUGCCAAUGGCACUGCCCGGUAGCUAAAUGCGGAAGAGAUAAGUGCUGAAAGCAUCUAAGCACGAAACUUGCCCCGAGAUGAGUUCUCCCUGACUCCUUGA
rnacentral:rRNA from 1 species